CAGUGAGAUGCUGGCCUCUGUCCCACGUGUCCCCGUGGCUGUCGUCCGGGGUGCCACCAUGUAAAAUUACCACACUUUAUUCAUUCAUCCUCCUGUGUACACAGUCUGCUUCCAAGGUUUAGCUAUUACUCAUUGUGCUGCUGUGUACAUGCAUGCGAGUGUCACACUGUGAUGUGAUGUCUUUAACUGUUUCAAGAAGGACAAUAGCUGGAUUCAGUAGGAUUUCCUUUUUUUUUUUGUAUCAGGAAUCCAACUCAGGACCUUGCACUUGCCGGACAGGCAUUAUACUGCUGAGCUCUAGCCCUGGCCUGGAUAGAAUUUCUACUUUUCAUUGUUUGAGGAAUUUCCUCAAUGGUUGUAGUAGUUUACACUCCACCCCCAACGUAGAAAGUUUCCUUUUUCCCCUGUAGCCUCGCCAUCAUUUGUUCCAUUUGAUGUCUUUGGGUGGUAGCCAUUCUUUCUAGACUAAGGUACAAUCUCAGUGUUUUUGUUUUUGUUUUUUGUUCUUGUUUAUUUUUUGAGACAGGAUUUCACUGUGUAUUUCAAAUUGCAACAAUUCUCCUGCCUCAGCCUCGAAAAUGCUGAGAUUACAGGUGUUUACCACCACACCCAAUUUCAGUGUAUUUUUUAAUUUGCAUUUAUCUAAAGGCCUGAGAUGCUGAACAUUUUAAAAUGUUUUUAUUCCAUUUGUAUGGCUUCCUCUGUGACAUGUCUAUUUUGGAUGCCUAUUUUUUGAUUGGGUCUUUUAUUUUGGGGAGGGGCUCUUAAUUUUUUUAAGUUCUUUAUGUAUUCUAGAUAUCAGUCCUCUGUCAGAGAAAUAGGUGGCAAAAUUUUUUUCCCAUUCCAUAGGUUGUCUUUUCACUCUGUUGGUUGCUUCCUUUGCUGUUCAAAAGCUUUUUAAUUUGGUGUGAGUUCAAGUGCUGAUUCUUUGUAUCAUUUUAUGUGUAGUUGGGUUCUGUCCAGAGUCUUUGCCUUCCCUUCUGUCUGUAAGAGUUUUGUCUGUUUUUGAGUGUUUCUGUUCUAACUUGUAGAUCUUUGAUCAGUUUUGAUUUUAGUUUUAGUGCAUGGUGAAGCUGUGGGUCUGCAUGUGGGUGCUAGUUUCCCAGCACUGUUUAUUAAAGAGGCUGUCUGUUCUUCACUGUAUGUUUUGGCUUCUUUCUCAGAGAUCAGGCGGUCGAAUGUGUCCAGGGUUGUUCCUGCACCCUGUCUUCUGUUCCAUUGAUCCAUGUUUUUGUGCAAGUAUUUUCCCUUUUUUUUGAGACAGGGUCCAAUAAUGCUUUUUUUUUUUUUUGUCUUUUUCCUUUUUAUCGGUACCAGAGAUCGAACUCAUGACUGCCUGCUUGCAAGGCAGGCGCUUAUGCCGCUGAGCUAAAUCCCCAGCCCCAAUAAUGCUUUUUAUUGCAAAAGAUUUCACAGUGCUCAAUGUGUUGAUUUACCAUGUUUGCUUAGUUUUCUUUUGUGAAAAUAGUUUCUGUGAUUUGUGUUUCAUGCCUUAUGGCCUUUGAAGAGCACAGGCCAGUAAUUUUUUUCAAUCAUUCACUGGACAAAUGUCUGAUGUUUCCUUGUAAUUACAUUUAGGUCAUACACUUUUGGCUUGAACACCACAGAAGUGAGAUUGUAUUUUUUUUUUUUUUUUUUUUUUUUUUUGUGGUACCCGGGAUCGAACUCAUGACUUCAUGCUUACCAGGCAGGCGCUUACACCACUGAGCUAAAUCCCCAGCCUGAGAUUGUAUUCUUAGUGAGAUUUACAAUUGAUUUUGUGUAUUGACUUUGUAUCUUGUGGUUAUUUACUAGUGUGUUUAUUUAUCAGUUUUCAUUUUGUUUUGUAGUACUGGGGAUUGAGUCCAGGGUCUUUGCACUGAGCUACAUUCCCAGUACCACCCCUUCUUGUACAUUUUGAGACAGGGUCUUGAGAAGUUACCCAGGCUGGAUUUGAGUUUGAGAUCUUCCUGCCUCAGCCUCCCAGUGUGUUGGGAUUACAGGUGUAUGCCACAGUGCCUGGUUACUUACUAAUUCUUUUUUUUGUUACUGGAAAUCAAACUCAUGACUUUGUGCUUGCCAGGCAGGUACAACUUACUGAUUCUUGCGGUUUGUGUAAACCCCUUGGGAUUUUCUGCAGAGACAGUCAUGCUAACUGUGUAUAAAUACAUUUUCCUUCCUUUCCAGUCUAUAUACUUCUCUUUAGUUUUUCUUACCCUGUCACACUGACUCGCUCCUCCAGUCCAUGUGCUGAAGCAGCCAAAGCUGCACCCCCGCCCGCUUUCUGCGCUGGGGUGGGAGUGUCAAGUCUUUCACUAUUAGUUACCACAUUAGCGGCAGCUUGUUUUUGUCCUUAGGGAGGCUGAAACAGACCCUGUCUAUUCCUAAUUUGUUGAGAACUUUUUCUUCAUGAGCAUAUGUACGUUGAAUUUCAUCAAGUGUCUUUUCUGUUCUAUGAGGAACACUUGCUCAAAUGAGGCUUCCGAUAACAAAUGUUUCUGUUCUCAGGAUGACAUACAUUUACAGUCUUUGGGACUGUCAUGAAAAAGUUGUCUGCUCCUCUUGGAAAACAGAUUUCUGUUACAACUUCUGGCCAUGACUGAAGACUUUGGGGCUCAGGGCUUGGUGCCCCGCCACUCAGAACCUGGAAGAACCAAGAAGGACAAGGAAACAGGACAGCUGAGGAGCGCUCAAGACUGAUUUCACCUACAAAUUGAACCUGAAGGACAUGACAGCAGCUGCCAGCGCUGCUUUCUACAAAGUCAGCGUCCUUUCCUCCCUUACAGGAUUUGGGGUCAGGACAGACGAGAGAUUAAGGCUUGAAUUUUGGAUGCUUAAAGGCAGGGUAGGGUGGUACAAGUCUCACAGGCAGAGUGCUUUCCUCUUUAAGUGAACGGAGGAGGAGAUGCUCGAGGAAACCUGCCCCUCAGUGCAGGCAGAAAGUGCCACCCCAGUUUGCAUUAUCCUUUCAGUUUGUUCCCAGUGGUAAAUUCAGCGUCCCUGUCAGCUCAGAACCAGGCCUUUAACACACAGCCACAGUCAGCCAGGGAGAUAGCUUUCCUUCUGUGUAAUUUGCUUUGCCUUUUUUUGUUUCCUCUUUACAACCAGAGUCGGGCACAAAGAGAUACACAGUUAUGGCCUGAAAUUUUCUGAGCAAGAGACUUUUUUUUCUAAUUUUAUCAAUUUCUCCCAAUGUCAGUUAGAAAAGAGACUCAUAAGUAACAAAACACACAACUAGAAGCUGCUUACUGGAUAGGGAAACAGAUUUGUUCUUUCAUUUGGAGGGAGGUCAGGAAUGAGGCAGACCUGGAGCUGAUAGCGAAGCUUAACAGAAUUAGGCUGCUUGGUUGGUAUCUCUUGAUUAUUCUGGAUUUGGCCUUAUGGUCACGAGAUGAUUGUUCCGGCUCCAGACAUCACGUGGUAGCUUUUAAAGCAAGAAGCGGGGAGGAGGUGGGGUGGCAGGAAGGCCACGCUCUUCUUUUCUCCUUAAUGGGGAAGGACAGCCUUUGCCCCAGCAGACUUCCUCUCCUGGAUCUGCCUGGCUGGAACUGGGUGGUGGUCCAACCAUGGGUUGGAUUGUUUGGCCCACUCGUGGUUUAUUUCUUUAUAUAAGCACAGCUCUCCCGGCCUGGUCAGUUUUGGUUGUCAUUUUGUCCUUUUCUUAUACUGUCAGUAUCUCCGUGUAUGUCUUUAAUCUAGUAAACAUACUUAUUUUUACAUUGUAUGGUUUGUAAUUCGAAGCUAUGCCUUGUUUGUGAGUCUGAGGCUGUAGUUUGUGGUUUUUGCUGAAUCUUAAGUCAUGGUAGUUAUGUUUUAUAGGGGUGUGUGUGUGUGUCUAACCACUGAAUUAACACUGAAUUUUAUUCUUUGGGAAUGCAACUAUAUGUAUGUUUCUGGAGAUUAAACUCAGGAAUUUUUCAGCAAU